UACAGAGGUCUCAAGCGUUGUUCGGAUUCAUUGGGCGUAAAGGGUGCGUAGGUGGCGCCGUAAGUCAGGUGUGAAAUUUCGGAGCUUAACUCCGAAACUGCAUUUGAUACUGCGGUGCUUGAGGACUGGAGAGGAGACUGGAAUUCACGGUGUAGCAGUGAAGUGCGUAGAUAUCGUGAGGAAGACCAGUGGCGAAGGCGGGUCUCUGGACAGUUCCUGACACUGAGGCACGAAGGCCAGGGGAGCAAACGGG
rnacentral:rRNA from 1 species